AGUCCAAGCUGUGUUCACACGGCGAGACCGCGGACGGCUCAUUAAAUCAGUCGUGGUCCAAAUGGGCCAGUGCAAAUCCUACUUGGAUAACUGUGGUAAUUCCAGAGCUAAUACAUGCAACUGAUAUCCCGAAGGCGGUGUUUGUGCUUGCUUGCCUUGCGCUUGCACUGCUCUGACGGAUGCUUUUAUUAGACCAAGCCGCUGAGGACUUGAGGGUUCGCGCUCUCUUGUUUGACUCGUGUGAUGGUGACUCUGGAUAACCAAAUUCUGACAAGCGCACGUACUUCUCUUCUGAGCGAGACGGCGCUGCCACUUUCGAGUGUCUGCCUUAUCAGCUAUCAACCGUUCGUUAUGCGCGACCGAUGGCUUUGACGGGUAACGGGGAAUCAGGGUUCGAUUCCGGAGAGGCAGCCUGAGAGACGGCUACCACGUCCAAGGACGGCAGCAGGCACGCAAAUUACCCAAUCCCAGCAAAUGGGGGAGGUAGUGACGAAAUCUAACGAUGCGGGCGCCCUUUCUGGGGCCCCGCAAUCGGAAUGGGCACUUUCUAAACAACCUGUUGAGAACCUACUGAAGGGCAAGUCUGGUGCCAGCAGCCGCGGUAAUUCCAGCUUCAGCAGCAUCUAUUAAAGUUGCUGCGGUUAAAAGGCUCGCAGUUGAAUGUCUGUAUCGAGCGCAGGUCAGGUGGACGUU
rnacentral:rRNA from 1 species